rnacentral:rRNA from 1 species
GAUGAACGCUGGCGGCGUGCCUAAUACAUGCAAGUCGAGCGAACGGACGAGAAGCUUGCUUUUCUGAUGUUAGCGGCGGACGGGUGAGUAACACGUGGAUAACCUACCUAUAAGACUGGGAUAACUUCGGGAAACCGGAGAUAAUACCGGAUAAUAUUUUGAACCGCAUGGUUCAAAAGUGAAAGACGGUCUUGCUGUCACUUAUAGAUGGAUCCGCGCUGCAUUAGCUAGUUGGUAAGGUAACGGCUUACCAAGGCAACGAUGCAUAGCCGACCUGAGAGGGUGAUCGGCCACACUGGAACUGAGACACGGUCCAGACUCCUACGGGAGGCAGCAGUAGGGAAUCUUCCGCAAUGGGCGAAAGCCUGACGGAGCAACGCCGCGUGAGUGAUGAAGGUCUUCGGAUCGUAAAACUCUGUUAUUAGGGAAGAACAUAUGUGUAAGUAACUGUGCACAUCUUGACGGUACCUAAUCAGAAAGCAACGGCUAACUACGUG